CGGACGGGUGAGUAACGCGUGAGAAUCUGGCUUCAGGUCUGGGACAACCACUGGAAACGGUGGCUAAUACCGGAUGUGCCGAGAGGUGAAAGGUUAACUGCCUGAAGAUGAGCUCGCGUCUGAUUAGCUAGUUGGAAGUGUAAUGGACUCCCAAGGCGACGAUCAGUAGCUGGUCUGAGAGGACGAUCAGCCACACUGGGACUGAGACACGGCCCAGACUCCUACGGGAGGCAGCAGUGGGGAAUUUUCCGCAAUGGGCGAAAGCCUGACGGAGCAAUACCGCGUGAGGGAGGAAGGCUCUUGGGUCGUAAACCUCUUUUCUCAGGGAAGAACAAAAUGACGGUACCUGAGGAAUAAGCAUCGGCUAACUCCGUGCCAGCAGCCGCGGUAAUACGGAGGAUGCAAGCGUUAUCCGGAACGAUUGGGCGUAAAGCGUCCGCAGGUGGCUAUGUAAGUCUGCUGUUAAAGAGUCUAGCUCAACUAGAUAAGAGCAGUGGAAACUACAAGGCUAGAGUACGUUCGGGGCAGAGGGAAUUCCUGGUGUAGCGGUGAAAUGCGUAGAGAUCAGGAAGAACACCGGUGGCGAAGGCGCUCUGCUAGGCCGUAACUGACACUGAGGGACGAAAGCUAGGGGAGCGAAUGGGAUUAGAUACCCCAGUAGUC
rnacentral:rRNA from 1 species